AGCGAACGCUGGCGGCAGGCUUAACACAUGCAAGUCGAACGAACUCUUCGGAGUUAGUGGCGGACGGGUGAGUAACACGUGGGAACGUGCCCUUUGGUUCGGAAUAACUCAGGGAAACUUGUGUUAAUACCGCAUGUGCUCAUCGGGGGAAAGAUUUAUUGCUAUUAGAGCGGCCCGCGUCUGAUUAGCUAGUUGGUGAGGUAACGGCUCACCAAGGCGACGAUCAGUAGCUGGUCUGAGAGGAUGACCAGCCACACUGGGACUGAGACACGGCCCAGACUCCUACGGGAGGCAGCAGUGGGGAAUCUUGCGCAAUGGGCGAAAGCCUGACGCAGCCAUGCCGCGUGAAUGAUGAAGGUCUUAGGAUUGUAAAAUUCUUUCACCGGGGACGAUAAUGACGGUACCCGGAGAAGAAGCCCCGGCUAACUUCGUG
rnacentral:rRNA from 1 species